CCACCCUAGACUGGAGUCGGAAUACUAUACAAAAGAUCUUAACCCCUCAUAAAAUAUACUAAAUACGAGGAAAAUAACCUAAACUACUAUCUAACUAUGCUCCUCCAAUACAACAUACUCCUAUGGACUAUAAGUCAGAUCAAUGAUCAUCGUGUCCUCCCAAGGUAGAAUGACUUCAGAUGGUGUCUCGUAGGAAGGGGUCGACAAGAAACUAUUAGGAAUGGUCGGCUUGACGACCUUUCCUAAAGAACCAAACUAAGCAUCCAAUGGUUCCAGAGGCUAAUAAUAAGACACAGAGUCCACCAGUAUCAAUGGCUCAGGUACAGAGCCAAAUCACUCAUGAUAGAUAGGCUAGAUGUUGAAAGGUGACUCUGGCUCCAGGUCUGGCUAAUAAAAAUGUUGUGGUGGAAAAGGGUGAUAGAAGACUCCAGGGUGUAACUCUGACAGUAGAAAAUCAUAAGGAGAAUCAGUAUUGAACUGCUGAGAAAGAAGGGGAUAAGAAAAGGACUGCUCGAAAAGCGUGUAAAUUUACGUACUCAGCUCACCCCAGAUGAAAGUGUUGCCCCAUGCGGAAUCCUUGUAGCGGGCUAGUAGAGGGUACUCAAAGAAAAUGAUUCCUAAUCUCAUCUGUGGAGUGGGAAAAAAAGGGGAAUGAAAACCAAUAGUUCCCAGCAAGACGAUAACGGAGAACAAAGAGAUUUUCGUGCUAAGCCUAAGUUUUAUGUGUAACUAGAGAAUUUUCAUACUAAAUUUACGUUCACUGAAGUCGUUCAACAAGGUACACAAACAAAUAAGAGAUCAAAUAAAUGACAAUACACAAGUAGGAAUUAAGCACAUAUAUUCAAUCACAUAGAAAUGCGCAAUCAAGUAUGAUGCAUACCUUAUCUUAGUGCAAGCUAUGAACUCAUGUGUUAGUUGUCUACCCGCUCCCGACAUUAUCCAAACAUAAGUUUCGGAUAUGAUUUUUUAGCUAGUGCGCCUCAUCAUAAUUAUAUAAAGGUAUUUGAUCGCCAUGUCAAAUACAAUAAACAAACAUCUGAUCGUCAUGUCAGAUGUUUCUUUGAACUGAAAAAUGACUCAACAUUCUGUGGGCGUUCCCACACUUCUGGCUAGACGGUCUAAAACUCUGCACUACCAGGUGGUCAUCACGCAUCAUUGGAUCUUUUACUUUUUUUUGGGGGUACAUUAUAGUGACUUAUCGAAGGGACUCUCUUGCCCUUGCUCACUCAAUACAUUACUAUGGUAUCAUUUCAUAACUUAAGAGAUUCUCUACUCUUAGCCUUUCAACCUUCGAUACCAUAUUAUUCAAGUUUUCAUUAAGUAUUAAAUGUCUUUUAUACUCUUGUUUAUCCUAAAAGUGACACUCUACCAUAUUAUCAUUAUAUUUUUUCAUAAAGACCAUCUUACUCCUAAGACUUACUAAUUAACCAUUUUAGUUUUUUUCUAAAUGAUCAUUUUAAUCAUAGGUGUCAUAAUUAAUUAUCCUAGUAUUAAUUAUUAUCCAAGUUGAUAAUUUACACUCUAAUUUACCAAAUAAGCUUCAAUUCUUUUAUUAAUACCCAUUUCGUCCUUAAUAACCUAAUCUUACAUUUUUAUCCCUAAUUCUUUACUAAAAUCCUUAUUUAGACUCAACAUGUAUCUUAUUUUACAACUUGACUCUAAUUAGCUUAUAUAAUAUUCCACAUUUACCCCUAGUACACACUAUGUUUUAACCUUAUUAGUUACCUAAUUUUUCUAAGUGUCACUUUUAGUACAUCCUACAUUUUUUCUAGGAUCAUACAUUAGAUUUUGAGUAAAACCCCUCCCCGGUCCCUAACCAUUUACGAAAUUGACCUGGCGCCCCCUCAUCAUUGGAAAUUAACAACGCGGUCCUUAACCAUUCUUUCCGUGUGACCAAAAGGACCCUCUUACCGGUACUUCCGGUUAAGAGGGUCCUUUCGGUCACACGGAGAGAAUGGAUAAGGACCGUGUUAUUAUUUUCUAAUGGUGAGGGGACCGGGGAGGACUUUUACUUAAAAUUGGAAAAUAAAUAAAAAAAAUAUUGUUUUAAGUUUGUAUCUAAUGCUUUUUGCCAUAUUUUACAUGUGGACGGAGAGCAAACAACGUUAAACUUAAUAAAUAGCACGAAAUCAUUAACAACGAGACUUAACACAAAAGUGAUAAUUAUUUGGGUUGAUUAAGCACUAUUAUUUAGGUUUUAAGAAUGACAUAUAUGUUCUAUAUUGUUGAACCUAAAAAAAAAAUAGUUCAAGAUUAUUAUUCCAUAUACACCUUUUUCUAAAAAAAUUAAACUGCUUUUCUUAUUAGUGGAAUUAAAUUCAUAAACCAUAAUUUUAAUAGUAGGAUUACACGUAGAGACUAAAUAUUCUUUUGAGAUUUUUAGAAGUGAUAUUUGUUGAUAUGGCGAAUUAAUUUUAAUUUAAUUUUACGUAUUUUAAUUUUGUUUAUUUAGUUACUAAUUUGAAUUUUAUGUCAGAGGAUUUAGAAUUUUCUUUAUUUAACCUAAAGUUGAGUGAGUUUCUUCGAUUUAAUUUUCAAACCAGUGAACAAAUUAUAUUGAGGUAUUUCUUUCUUGUUGCAUCAAGAAAUUGAAUACAAAGAAAAUCAGUUUGAUUUUUUAUUCAAUUUCUUGAUGCAACAAGAAAGAAAUACCUCAAUCUAAUUUGUUCACUGGUUUGGAAAUUAAAUCGAAAAAACUCACUCAACUUUAGGUUAAAUAAAGAAAACUCUAAAUCCUCUAACAUAAAAUUUAAAUUAGUAACUAAAUAAACAAAAUUAAAAUACGUAAAAUUAAAUUAAAAUUAAUUCGUCAUAUUACGAACAUUUGAAUGAAACAAAUAUCACUUCUAAAAAUCUAAAAAGAAUAUUUAAUCUCUAUGUGUAACCCUACUAUUAAAAUAUUUAGUCCCUAACCAUCUAGAAAAGGACCUGGCGUCCCCUGACCAUUAGAAAAUAACAACACGAUCCUUAUCCAUUCUCUCGUGUGACCGAAAUGACCUUCUUGUCAGUUUUCAGGUAAAAAGUAACCGAAAGUACCGGUAAGAGGGUCCUUUUGGUCACACAGAGAGAAUGGUUAAGGACCGCGUUGUUAAUUUCCAAUGGUGAAGGGGCGCCAGGUCAAUUUCGUAAAUAGUUAGGGACCGAGGAGGGGUUUUACUCUUAGAUUUUAACUUAUUUUCUCAUAUUUUUACUUUAAUUUUUUUAUCAUCUUUCUAAACCUUCAUAUUAUGACUUAUUCUUAUAUCUUAGUAUCUUUUAUAAUUAUGAAGCUCACCUCAAGUGUCUGUCAAUGUUCGACCCUCAAUAAUACGUUUAGGCAUAGCCUUUAUAUUCACAAUUAGCAUUCAUUUCAUCAAAAUGAAGCAAUUCAUCAUAUAAUCAAUAUUCAUGCAACUCAUGCAUCAUACACUUUUAAAGAGGGCAUACACAAAUCAAUAUCAAGCAUAGAAAUCAAAUAAACAUUAUCACCCUUACUUUAGUCUUGAUGUUCACUCUUGAACACGUUAGAAAUACUAAAUCUCCUAAACAAAGGCAACUUGACAAUUAAUGAAAAAUCAAUGCUUAUGGCCGAGACUUAGGAGCAAUGGAGGAGCUGAGAUACAACUUUUUUUUGCUUGAAAUACUAGCCUCCAACCAUCCUCCUUGUAGUUCCUAAAGGUGAUUAUCUUACUAAAUUUUCAAAGGAAAGAAUAAGAAAAAUGGAGAAAGGAAGUAGGAAACUUGGUGCUUGAAAGAAUCAGUGAAGUGAAAGUUAUGAAAUCGACACAAAGAAUCACUUUUUUCUUCUCUCAAGGCUUCGACCACUCUCUCUCUUUCUCUUUAAUUUCUUUUCUUUCUCACUUGUUAAGUUUGAUUAGUGUAG
rnacentral:lncRNA from 1 species